AACGAACGCUGGCGGCAGGCCUAACACAUGCAAGUCGAGCGCCCCGCAAGGGGAGCGGCGGACGGGUGAGUAACGCGUGGGAAUAUGCCCUUUGCUACGGAAUAGUCUCGGGAAACUGGGGGUAAUACCGUAUACGCCCUUUGGGGGAAAGAUUUAUCGGCGAAGGAUUAGCCCGCGUUGGAUUAGGUAGUUGGUGGGGUAAUGGCCUACCAAGCCGACGAUCCAUAGCUGGUUUGAGAGGAUGAUCAGCCACACUGGGACUGAGACACGGCCCAGACUCCUACGGGAGGCAGCAGUGGGGAAUCUUAGACAAUGGGGGCAACCCUGAUCUAGCCAUGCCGCGUGAGUGGUGAAGGCCUUAGGGUUGUAAAGCUCUUUCAGCUGGGAAGAUAAUGACGGUACCAGCAGAAGAAGCCCCGGCUAACUCCGUG
rnacentral:rRNA from 1 species